rfam:Cryptosporidium muris RN66 scf_1106632353999 genomic scaffold, whole genome shotgun sequence.
GCGGGUUUGGUCUAGUGGCUAUGACGCUCGCCUAACACGCGAGAGAUCACGAGUUCGAUCCUCGUAACCCGUA